rnacentral:sRNA from 1 species
UGUCUUAGAUAGAUGAUAGAUAGAUAGAUGACAGGUAAUCAAAUAGAUAAUUGAUCGAUUGAUAGUCAGAUAUAUGAUGAUGGAUAAUAGAAAGAAAGAGAGAGAGAAAGGAAGGAAGGAAGGAAGGAAGGAAGGAAGGAAGGAAGGAAGGAAGGAGGAAGGCAGGUAGGUAGGUUUCCUCAAGGCAAAGCAGCCAUUUUGACUUGUUUGCAGGAAGGGAAGCAGGCAGUGGAGAGACACUGUCGGCACAGAUGUCCAAGUGACUACAGGACGCAAAGGAUGUUGCUUCCUCCACUCACAGACAGCAGUGGUGUGGUCACUGGGACGUCGCUUUUGCUCCUGUACCUGCCACCCACACUCAGGCAAGAAGCUAUGUAAACUCAACGGGCCACGCGCAAGAAGAAGCCGCAGAAGCAGGAGGGGGGCCUGAUUGAGAGGAAAGGCUCCAGGGGUUGAAGUGGGGAGGAUGAGAGAGGAGAGUUGGGAAUGAAAAACUAGUAAAACCCAACUGUCAAACAAGAAUUUCAAAGAAAACUACUGACGUGGAAAAAUAUUGCUAUUCUGACCCAAGGCCGUGGGAAGAAACAGUGACCCUGUAUCAGGCAGAGAGCGAGCCGGAAGCCUCUGCCCCUGCUGUGAGCAUAAAACUACCCUGCAAAAAAGCCUUUUAAAAAUAUAAAUAAAGCCUUCAAUAAAAGGGAAAGAAAGCAGAGGUAAAUUCUACUGUAACCCCAGGACCGAUGGCUUGUUAAGAGUGGAGUAUACAGAGUCACCCCCAAGGCAGCUGUUCAUUAUAGCAGAGACAUAAAGGGAGCUGCCAAGGGACUGCUCCAGAAGAGACCAGACACGUGCUCCUAGUCCUCCCCUGGUGCCGGCAGGCAUGAGAGAGAUGCCCAAUCCUCCAGUAAUGCCGUGACAACAUUUGUGAAGUGCUGUCUACCAUAGAGACUUGGCACUCAAAGUUUUUCCUGGGAGCAGGUCAUGACCUCAUCACUGUCUAGUACACACCAUCAUCACCCCAGACUGUCAAAAGCAGGUAUUCAGUACAAACUGCAUUGCAUACACGGUGAGACACAUACCCCCAUUUAGAGGAAGUUUUACAGAAGUAAAACUCUAUGCCAGACAAGUACCGUACACGCAGGCUUUUCUAAGACAACUGCCUCAAGUCUGUUGCAUUUGCUCUAUGCUAUACACCUUGACUAAUACAAACAGGGCAGCCUCAUCCGUCACAAGGCAAACGUGAAUUACAGUAACACCAAGUUACCGUUGUCCUUUGUUGGGCUGGUAAAGUCCAAACUAAGGAAGAUGUCUGCUUGGUAAUGAGGCCGUUCCAUAUGUAGUCGGUAGGGACCGAGAUGCCUUGUUAAACAAUCGGACAACGUCUACCAGAAUUACAAACACAUAUAUCCCCCUUCUACCAGGCCGGCUUCUUGAAAGGUGCUUGCAUUUGCAAAGUGGAAAGGUUAUCUGUUGUGGCACUGUCUGCAUAGAACAACCUGAAUCAAUGCUAUUCGUGUCUAUGGGGAUGCUCAUUUAAAGAAACCGACUGCAUGCCCCUCCUUCAAGAUGACUGCCUACACAGGGCCUGGUGGAUGGGUUCAUGGGUCAAAGAGCUUGCCACCAAGCCUGACAACCUGAGUUUGAUCCCCAGAACCUACAUGGUGGGAAGAAGAGAACUGACUCUCAUAAUCUGUCCUCACUGGUGCAUUGUGAGAUAUGUGUGCUCAACUUCCAUGCACAUACAAAAUAAAUGUCUUAAAAAUUAUAUGUAUAUAUGUAUAUAUAUCUCCAAAUAUAGUAUUUAAUACUUGAUGUCACUGGGUUUGGUAUUAAUGAUACUGUUACUAAUAAUUACUAUUAGCGUAGUGCGUCACUGAAGAGACUGCUGUCUACCCGUGACGUUUCCUAUAAGGAAGUGAACUCUGCCACACAAGCACUGGCAUUUCAGACCCGUGUUCUGCAGGCCACUUGGGCAUAAAGAAGCUGUGCUGAGCAGCCUGUCUUGCACCAUCCAUGUUGCGUAAGUACUUUUUCACGGUGGGGUGACAGAGUCGCUUAACGCAUUUAUCAGAACACAUGCCAUCAUUAAGUAACAUAGGGCAGAGAUACCUAACCAUUUAGGCUUUGAAAGUUGCUCAAAGGGGAACAGAAACUAGACACAUGACCGGAGAGUGGAGCUGUGCACAGUAGACCUAUCUCUAUUGCUCUGUUCUAUCAUUAUUGCUCUGUUCUUUUUUUUAGCCCUGUGAUUUUUUUUUUAAAUCAAAAUUUUUUAAUGACAAUAGCUUCUGGGACUCCCCACUAAAGCAAUGGGACCAGACGGUUGCUAAAGAACAUAAUCAGAGGAAACUGUGUCCUGAGACUUCUGCUCAUUUCUCUUCCAGAUACUGGCAGAACUCUGGACAAACACACCCCUUAGCUAUCUGUGUUCUGUAUGUUACAGUGGACAUUGACUCCAAGUAAGGGUCACGCCAUACUGCAAGAUCAAGGGACCAACCAGUGAUGUCACUGAAUAAACAAAUCUGUAGGCAUCUGUGUUAGCUUCUGGGAAACAUUAUUGGUCAGAGACAAUGGAGAGACUACCUACAUAUGGGAACACACGGAGCUUGCGGAAGAGACUAGAGAUCUGACUUUAUCCCAAACAGUCCUUUAAGCAGUGUCCUGACCUCGGACAGUGUGUGCUCUCAGGUGGGCUUCGCUUCGCUCUAACCCUCUAAGCCCUGUGGAGUCUGCUGCUGAGAUGGAAACACUAGAGACCAGUGUCCAUUUGGAUCACACGUUCCGACUGCUAAGGAAAACUAACAGGCCACCGUUUGGGGCUGAGACCCUGUUCUGCAGCCAGUAGACAAUCAAAUGGAGUUACGUGGGCCAAAAUUCCAUGUCUGCAAACUGAAAGCAAAUUGCUUAAUCUGACUUUCUGAGAAAUUGGGAGGAGGAGGAUGACGACAGCUAAACUCCAAACAGAGCAGUUCUGGCAGACAUGCGGCUGUGGGCGUGGCCUUCUGUUCAGAUGGGACUCCAGCUUCCAAGGAAACGUAACGACUGCCACUUAACAAAACCCACACGGUAAAGCAGAAGUUGGACCUUGAAAAAUAUCAAGUGGAAGGAAAAGAAAUUCUCUGCAUGGCUUGAUGCCAUUUCCUGGUGUUCACGAGAGGUUUAGAAGUGCAGUCUGGGGAAUGAAUAAAGCUCACAAAGGAAUCUGA